UGGGACACAGCUGCAGAGCGCAUCCAGCCAGGUUGAACUGAUUCAGAUGCUUUCUUAGGAGGAGGAGGAGGAGGUAGAGAACACUGAGAAGUGUCUGAAUAUGAAGAGACCAUCUUACAGCAAGGAGACAUGUUUCCUGUGGUGUUCUGCUGGCUUCAUGAGAUUAAUGACCUCAGCACUUCACAGAUAAGUCUUUCUGUGUGAAUGUGAUCUUCUCCUGUGUGCACAAGGGCA
rnacentral:lncRNA from 1 species